AAACAAAUCAACCGUCCAAUCAGCAAAUUCGUUGUUCAAAGAGGCGACUCUCUGAGUUUUGAUUUUGGUGGCUAACGUUAGCCGCCGUGCUGCUGGAAGAUGUCGGUGAAACGGGCAAUUGGAGAUUUUGAGUACUUGAAGAAGAGGAUUCCACAGAACACCAAAUUUCAACAUGUAAAAACACGGCUUGAUACAGGCAAAGCUUUGAAAUAGUCCUACCUGGACAUCCUCAGUCAUAACUUGAUAAUUAAUGUGAUUGCAUGCCAGGAAAGCUCUGACAGCAUGGAGACUGUUGAAGGGUACACAAACAUCCACAGGCAAGGACUCACGAAUGGGCUUCCUCUAGAAAUCCAGCUGAACAUUGGGACAAAUAUAUGUGAUGGCAGAGGGAGACCUUAUAAGGCACGCCAGAGCGGGAGUGGGAGAGAGAGUGGCAGAAGGAAGUGGUGUCUGAGUAUCUGGCCACAUCAUAUUAAGAGACUGUAUUUGUUUAGUUCUUUUGAGAUACUGGAAGCCUUUGAUUUGAGUCAGCUGCUGAGAGCCUGUUUUAUUUACCCUUGUGUGUGUGGAAGUGAAAAUAAAU